rnacentral:rRNA from 1 species
AGAGUUUGAUCCUGGCUCAGGAUGAACGCUGGCGGCGUGCUUAACACAUGCAAGUCGAACGGGAAACCUUUUAUUGAAGCUUCGGCAGAUUUAGCUGGUUUCUAGUGGCGGACGGGUGAGUAACGCGUGGGUAACCUGCCUUAUACAGGGGGAUAACAACCAGAAAUGGUUGCUAAUACCGCAUAAGCGCACAGGACCGCAUGGUCCGGUGUGAAAAACUCCGGUGGUAUAAGAUGGACCCGCGUUGGAUUAGCUAGUUGGCAGGGUAACGGCCUACCAAGGCGACGAUCCAUAGCCGGCCUGAGAGGGUGAACGGCCACAUUGGGACUGAGACACGGCCCAGACUCCUACGGGAGGCAGCAGUGGGGAAUAUUGCACAAUGGGGGAAACCCUGAUGCAGCGACGCCGCGUGAAGGAAGAAGUAUCUCGGUAUGUAAACUUCUAUCAGCAGGGAAGAUAGUGACGGUACCUGACUAAGAAGCCCCGGCUAACUACGUGCCAGCAGCCGCGGUAAUACGUAGGGGGCAAGCGUUAUCCGGAUUUACUGGGUGUAAAGGGAGCGUAGACGGACUGGCAAGUCUGAAGUGAAAGCCCGGUGCUUAACGCCGGGACUGCUUUGGAAACUGUUUGGCUGGAGUGCCGGAGAGGUAAGCGGAAUUCCUAGUGUAGCGGUGAAAUGCGUAGAUAUUAGGAAGAACACCAGUGGCGAAGGCGGCCUACUGGACGGUAACUGACGUUGAGGCUCGAAAGUGUGGGUAGCAAACAGGAUUAGAUACCCUGGUAGUCCACACCGUAAACGAUGAUU